UUGAAAAUUUCAGGGAUAACUCCCUGCUACACGGCAUCCACCAAAUUCCCAACCGCCUCCACUCUCAAACAACAAACUGGCUGCUCCCUCUAUUUUUCAACACAAAAUCCCAGAAAAUGCUCAAAAAUUUCCCAGAUAUUUUCAUUGAAUUAACGAUCUCCUCAACUCAAUUUUAAUUAUCUCAUUCUUUCAAGUACAAAUGGAAAUCUGGAGAAGCCUGUAAUUGCAAGCGCAGUAACGGAGCCAUCGCAGGUCCAUAACAGAGCUAUCGUCGCCCCAUAACUGAGCCAUCGCUGCAAAUUUCGCCGGACGAGCAGACCUCCGCCACCGCUACAAAGUCCUAUGUAUGAAUUAAGAUCCAAGGCCUCAUCUCUGGUAAAAAUCAUGAAGAAGAGGUGAGCCCAUGUUGCACUAUUGUUUUCUAAGAAAGAAAAAUAACAAGCAUUUUGAAAAGAUGAAUGCAUGAGCUGUGAUGCUCAAAGAUUGUGUAUUUGGGUUCAUAAUUGUACCGUUCCGUGCAACCAAAAACUACGAUCUAAAUUUUUUCAUUAUUCUACGUACAAAAUCAACUUGUAUUCCUGCUGGUGAUACCGCGUUAAAUAGCUUGGCUUGUUCACAUGUGGAAAAAAUGGAUGGUUGCCAUCAAGUUCAGAGUCAUAUCUCACAACAGGUGCUUCUUCUGACCAGUCACAACGCAGAACCAAAAAAAGAGAAUCACUGUGAAGCAGCAAUGCAGCUUGAGGGCGGGGUCAGCGCGCUUCUGGUAUAACAACUUUUGCAGACUCACAAAAUCACAAAGAGCUUAUUUAUAAGCCCUGUGCAGGUGGUUUCAGCUUACUUACUUUCCUGUAGAUGGCGAAAACCGAAAUUGUUGCUCAUAUCUGGUUUGCAAUCUCUGGCAAAAAUGGCUGCUUGCUCGGCUACCUGAACGGUUGAACAGGUUGUAUCAGAAGCCAUUAAGAUCUUUCUUAAAGUGAUAUGAUCAAUAACGUCG